AACAGACCUGUCCUAGACUACACAACCUGUCUGUCUGUAACUGACCUGUCCCAGACUACACAACCUGUCUGUCUGUAACAGACCUGUCCUAGACUACACAACCUGUCUGCCUGUCUGUCUGUAACUGACCUGUCCUAGACUACACAACCUGUCUGUCUGUAACUGACCUGUCCCAGACUACACAACCUGUCUGCCUGUCUGUCUGUUACUGACCUGUCCUAGACUACACAACCUGUCUGUCUGUAACUGACCUGUCCUAGACUACACAACCUGUCUGUCUGUAACUGACCUGUCCUAGACUACACAACCUGUCUGUCUGUAACUGACCUGUCCCAGACUACACAACCUGUCUGUCUGUAACUGACCUGUCCCAGACUACACAACCUGUCUGUCUGUAACUGACCUGUCCUAGACUACACAACCUGUCUGUCUGUAACUGACCUGUCCUAGACUACACAACCUGUCUGUCUGUAACUGACCUGUCCUAGACUACACAACCUGUCUGUCUGUAACUGACCUGUCCUAGACUACACAACCUGUCUGUAACUGACCUGUCCUAGACUACACAACCUGUCUGUCUGUAACUGACCUGUCCUAGACUACACAACCUGUCUGUCUGUCUAACUGACCUGUCCUAGACUACACAACCUGUCUGUCUGUAACUGACCUGUCCUAGACUACACAACCUGUCUGUCUGUAACUGACCUGUCCCAGACUACGCAACCUGUCUGUCUGUAACUGACCUGUCCCAGACUACGCAACCUGUCUGUCUGUAACUGACCUGUCCUAGACUACACAACCUGUCUGUCUGUAACUGACCUGUCCUAGACUACACAACCUGUCUGUCUGUAACUGACCUGUCCUAGACUACACAACCUGUCUGUCUGUAACUGACCUGUCCUAGACUACACAACCUGUCUGUCUGUAACUGACCUGUCCCAGACUACACAACCUGUCUGUCUGUAACUGACCUGUCCUAGACUACACAACCUGUCUGUCUGUAACUGACCUGUCCUAGACUACACAACCUGUCUGUCUGUAACUGACCUGUCCCAGACUACACAACCUGUCUGUCUGUAACUGACCUGUCCCAGACUACACAACCUGUCUGUCUGUAACUGACCUGUCCUAGACUACACAACCUGUCUGUCUGUAACAGACCUGUCCCAGACUACACAACCUGUCUGUCUGUAACUGACCAGUCCUAGACUACACAACCUGUCUGUCUGUAACUGACCUGUCCCAGACUACACAACCUGUCUGUCUGUAACAGACCUGUCCUAGACUACACAACCUGUCUGUCUGUAACUGACCUGUCCCAGACUACACAACCUGUCUGUCUGUAACAGACCUGUCCUAGACUACACAACCUGUCUGCCUGUCUGUCUGUAACUGACCUGUCCUAGACUACACAACCUGUCUGUCUGUAACUGACCUGUCCCAGACUACACAACCUGUCUGCCUGUCUGUCUGUUACUGACCUGUCCUAGACUACACAACCUGUCUGUCUGUAACUGACCUGUCCUAGACUACACAACCUGUCUGUCUGUAACUGACCUGUCCUAGACUACACAACCUGUCUGUCUGUAACUGACCUGUCCCAGACUACACAACCUGUCUGUCUGUAACUGACCUGUCCUAGACUACACAACCUGUCUGUCUGUAACUGACCUGUCCCAGACUACACAACCUGUCUGUCUGUAACUGACCUGUCCUAGACUACACAACCUGUCUGUCUGUAACUGACCUGUCCUAGACUACACAACCUGUCUGUCUGUAACUGACCAGUCCUAGACUACACAACCUGUCUGUCUGUAACUGACCUGUCCUAGACUACACAACCUGUCUGUCUGUAACUGACCUGUCCUAGACUACACAACCUGUCUGUCUGUAACUGACCUGUCCUAGACUACACAACCUGUCUGUCUGUAACUGACCUGUCCUAGACUACACAACCUGUCUGUCUGUAACUGACCUGUCCUAGACUACACAACCUGUCUGUCUGUAACUGACCUGUCCUAGACUACACAACCUGUCUGUCUGUAACUGACCUGUCCUAGACUACACAACCUGUCUGUCUGUAACCCUUUCUACUCAGGCACAGGGAGGGGCAGCUCAGAACCUGAGGGGGGGUUGUUUAAGUGUGUAAAGUGUAACAAUGGUCAUUCUGUGUUAGUGGCUGAAAAUGUAGUUUCGCCGGGUCUUCCUCUUCUGACGCUAUGAUGCCUAGAUCUGUCAGUGUGUCGUCUGGUGUUGUGUGGUUACUAACCUUCACAGACAACAGUCUGGUGUUGUGUGGUUACUAGUCUUCACAGACAACAGUCUGGUGCUGUGAGGUUACUAGCCUUCACAGACAACAGUCUGGUGCUGUGUGGUUACUAGUCUUCACAGACAACAGUCUGGUUACUAACCUUCACAGACAACAGUCUGGCGCUGUGAGGUUACUAGUCUUCACAGACAACAGUCUGGUUACUAGCCUUCACAGACAACAGUCUGGUUACUAGUCUUCACAGACAACAGUCUGGCGCUGUGAGGUUACUAGUCUUCACAGACAGCAGUCUGGUGCUGUGAGGUUACUAGCCUUCACAGACAACAGUCUGGCGCUGUGAGGUUACUAGCCUUCAGACAGCAGUCUGGUUACUAGCCUUCACAGACAACAGUCUGGCGCUGUGAGGUUACUAGCCUUCACAGACAGCAGUCUGACACUCCUUCCUGUUCUGAAAGCGUCCCAUGUUUAGAUUUGUUUUGUAUUAUUCUCACUCUAGUCUUUAUUUACACGUGUAAUAUUCCUUGGGAGCUGCUUGUGUCUGGAUGGUGUGCUAACCUGGUUGACAUUAUCAUAAUGUAAUAUAAUUUAUAUCAUUUG